rnacentral:lncRNA from 1 species
GAAUCUUCAGCAAACAGGCAAAUACUUUAAAAUUUUAGGUGAUCCAUCACUGAAUAAUUUGAAAGAUCUUCAGAUUCUUGUACUGUGAAUCACUUCUGUAGGCAUGAAAGAGUGAGCAAUGCAGGCAUAACAUUAAAAGGAGACUGAUAAGGAAAUAAAAAUGAAGAACAGAAAUAGCUCCAAAGAUUAGAUGUAAGCCCUUGGGGUUGGGAUUAUCUGGAGAGAGAUGGGAGCUCAGUUGUCGGAAUAAAGCCAAGUAGCAAGGUAGCCUUAAAUGUACUCCAAUUUUCACCACUCAGCAGCAGGAGCCAAGCAGAGACUGCUUCCCUAGACCCUUGCUUAUUGGACACCACAAACUUCCUGGAGGUGCUAGCACAUAGAGGUGAGGUGUUUUUUUAUAGAUCCUUUUGGCUCAUCAUGACAAAGGGAGA